rnacentral:rRNA from 1 species
CUUGAUGGGGUAAGGCUCCCAGUAGACGACUGGGUUGAUAGGCCGGAUAUGGAAGCACGGUAACGUGUGGAGUUGACCGGUACUAAUAGGCCGAGGGCUUGUCCUCAGUUG